AACCAUGUUAAUUCUUUGAAGUGUAUUAGAACUUGGCCAACUGAGGUAAUAGUGGAAGAAAAAUAAGAUUAAUUCCUUAAUUAUGUUGAAUCAUGGAUUAAUUACAGUUUUUCCAAUUUUUUUGAAUGUCAGUAUUUUUAUGGAAUUUUUGUUUUCUUCAAAAAUGUGAAUAACCAAUGUCAGUUUUCUGUGUGAACCAGUUCUGCAGGAAGACCCCCCAAAAAAUCUUCUUUUCAAGAAAUCAGUUUAUUUGAUUUAGUAUUUCUAGAACUUUGAUUUUAUUUUAUAUGAAUGAGCACCUCAUUUUGUUAUUAAAAAAUGAUCAGACCUUUUUCUUUUAGCUUAAGAUCAAACUAUACUUCAAUAGUAUGUAUGAUGGCUUCUUCAUGGAAAUGAAUUAAAAAAUAAAAGAAAAUCCUUC
rnacentral:misc_RNA from 1 species